rnacentral:rRNA from 1 species
AGGGGAAUAUUGCACAAUGGGGGAAACCCUGAUGCAGCGACGCUGCGUGAACGAAGAAGGUAUUCGUAUCGUAAAGUUCUGUCCUAUGGGAAGAUAAUGACAGUACCAUAGAAGAAAGCUCCGGCUAACUACGUGCCAGUAGCCGCGGUAAUACGUAUGGAGCGAGCGUUGUACGGAAUUAUUGGGCGUAAAGGGUACGCAGGCGGUUUAAUAAGUCGAAUGUUAAAGAUCGGGGCUCAACCCCGCAAAGCGUUGGAAACUGAUAAGCUUGAGUAGUGGAGAGGAAAGUGGAAUUCCUAGUGUAGUGGUGGACUGCAUAGAUAAUAGGAGGAAUACCAGUAGCGAAGACGACUUUACGGACACGAACUAACGCUAAGGUACGAAAGCGUGGGGAGCAAACAGG